AGCGAACGCUGGCGGCAGGCCUAACACAUGCAAGUCGAACGGAUCCUUCGGGAUUAGUGGCGGACGGGUGAGUAACACGUGGGAACGUGCCCUUUGGUUCGGAACAACUCAGGGAAACUUGAGCUAAUACCGGAUGUGCCCUUAGGGGGAAAGAUUUAUCGCCAUUGGAGCGGCCCGCGUCUGAUUAGCUCGUUGGUGAGGUAAAGGCUCACCAAGGCGACGAUCAGUAGCUGGUUUUAGAGGAUGAUCAGCCACAUUGGGACUGAGACACGGCCCAAACUCCUACGGGAGGCAGCAGUGGGGAAUCUUGCGCAAUGGGCGAAAGCCUGACGCAGCCAUGCCGCGUGAAUGAUGAAGGUCUUAGGAUUGUAAAAUUCUUUCACCGGGGACGAUAAUGACGGUACCCGGAGAAGAAGCCCCGGCUAACUUCGUGCCAGCCGCCGCAGUAAUAC
rnacentral:rRNA from 1 species